CCCACUACCCUGGCGUUACAAGCGCCAUGCUCUACCAACUGAGCUACAGAAGGACCACACUUGGUGGUGGGUUAGUUACUUUGCUGUUGGUACUUUGCUGGGAUCCUCCACAUAUCCUGACAGCAGCACAUGGAUACACUCUACCAGGUGGAGAGGCUGCUUUAGACGCUGCCAACACGGAUCCUGACAGCAGCACAUGGAUACACUCUACCAGGUGGAGAGGCUGCUUUAGACGCUGCCAACACGGAUCCUGACAGCAGCACAUGGAUACACUCUACCAGGUGGAGAGGCUGCUUUAGACGCUGCCAACACGGAUCCUGACAGCAGCACAUGGAUACACUCUACCAGCUAGAGGCUUCUUUAGACGCUGCCA